GAAAACUCAGUUGAAGAACUAGCAUCCUAAAUCAUAAACAAUGCAAAAGGUUAGUACUAUUUCAUCAUAAAUCAGGAACACUACUCAUUUUAUUCAAACAACUCGGUUCAAACACAGACAACUCAGUUCAAUCAACUCAAUCAACUCAGUGCAAUCAACUUAGUUCAAACACACUAAGAUAGCAAAGUAGCAAACAACUCAGUUGAACAGGCCCUAAACUAGUACAUCUUGUGUUCCUCGCAC
rnacentral:lncRNA from 1 species